rnacentral:rRNA from 1 species
CAAGUCGAGGGGCAUCACGAGGUAGCAAUACUUUGGUGGCGACCGGCGCACGGGUGCGUAACGCGUAUGCAACCUGCCCGAUACCGGGGUAUAGCCCAUGGAAACGUGGAUUAACACCCCAUAGUACUUUUAUCCUGCAUGGGAUGUGAGUUAAAUGUUCAAGGUAUCGGAUGGGCAUGCGUCCUAUUAGUUAGUUGGCGGGGUAACAGCCCACCAAGACGAUGAUAGGUAGGGGUUCUGAGAGGAAGGUCCCCACAUUGGUACUGAGACACGGACCAAACUCC